rnacentral:lncRNA from 1 species
GAAGUAUUUAAGUUAUAUCGUUAAAUGUCAUGGAAUUCAUCUGAGAAUAGUUGAAAAUAACUAGCAGACUUUUAAGAUGAGGAAGGUACAGCAUGUGUAUUGACUGUUGGAGAAAAGAGGAAGUAUCGAAUAAGAAACUGUUCAAGUUAAACUUUGACAUCCUUGAUGAUAAUCAACCAUGUGGAAUGAAGGAAGAGACUGACUCAAAAAUGUCUGAAGUUUUGGGCAUAGAGAAAGAAUACAAGUUUUUCCAAAAAUGACUUUUGAGGGACAUAUUUGGGUGUUAGAAGUCUUGUGUAAUCACUAUUCAAUUUCUUAUCUCCCAUUUCUUAAGGGCAGGGCAGUCUCUUUUCUAGUGCUUUGGUUUUUUACAGUAUUUUCGGACAUCCCGAGAUAAAUAACUGCAGUUCAGUGGUUAGCAAGAACAGGUGGGCUUUAAAUUUGUUUCAAAGAAACAUUUCUGUUUUUGGAAAGAUUUAAUCUGUAAGACAACAACAGUUGCUUUUAAUUCCCCUAAAAACGGUGUGGCAACCUGAAUGAUAUAUAGAAGCUGACCCAUACAUCCAACAGUAUCAUCUUUAAUUUGCUCUUUUAUAACAGGGAGUGGAUUUCCAGUUAAGAUGCAAAUGAAAAGAUUUCUCUAAUCUGUACUAGAAGCUGUUUGCUUUUUAAAUGUUUUAAUUAAUUAUUUUCUUUUAUUCAGAGUAUAUGGCCAUUAUGCUUAAGAGAAAAGGCUAAACAAAAUAACACAUUCCUAUUGCAUUCUAAAUAGAAACCUAAGUUUUAUGUAAAAAAUAUGCCUACAAGUGAUUUGAGAUCAAAGUAAAUAAGCAUACAUGAGACAAAAGCAAAUAAACUUUAUGACUUUAACCAAGCCUCUAAAGAGGAAGCAAAAUAAAACUCAGCCCUUUCAAAACCCAUACAGCUGCCAAAGACAAGGAAAAAGAAAGACAAGCUAAAACAACCAUCAGUAUGCUAGUCACAAAUGGGGUGCAACUUGCAUUUCUGUCUGGUCAUAUUCUUGGGGUUCCCAACCUUUCAGUUGGGUGCCUACACUUGAAGGCUCAAUAAUUCAUGUGCCACUGAUAGAAAAUAAAAUGAUACAAACAGGAAAUGAAAGCUGAUCAUGGGAGGAAAAAGAUUACUAAUAAAUGGGCAUCCCAAAAGACAGGAGUCAUACAAAUUCAAAACAAAUAUUUCUAAUAAUUCCUAAAAGCAAAUGUUUCUCUUUUGAGUUAAAGUAGUUUAGCGAGGAAAGGAAUUGAUGGAGGGUUCAAAAGACUUCAAGUCUGCCUUAAAUCUGAUUUCUGUUCAGUUAGGUAUAGUGACUACCUAGUUAACUCCCUGAAUGUUUACAUUUCAAAAACAUGGCAAGAUUUACAUCUCUAGCAGACUGAGAAAGGCCUGGAGAUUCAGGUUGAAGAGUCUUUUGUUUACGAUUGAUUUUCCAUAUGUACCAAUAGGUCAGAUAGUUAUGAUAAGAACCCUCUAACAUUUUUUACUUUAAAUAUAACUAAUUUAUUUAUUCCGAAAGUGAUUCCAACAAAUAUAAGAACUAGUUCACAUACACACUUCCUUCUGUUAAUACAGUUUUGGAAAGAUAAAAGACAAGAAGACAUUCUUACCACCCACCGCAACCAGGCACCUGCAGGUAGGGAUCUGAGGCCUCAGUAAAAUUGUUUUUCUUUCUUUGCUUUUUUUAAAAAAAUUAUUAUUGUCAGUUUUCCCAGGAUCUCAUCUGCAGUCUCCCAAUGAGUAGAGUGAUUUGUUCUCUUGGCUCACAAAAACUAUAGGGUGAAGAGAAUUUUUCUUCCCUCCUUUCUGAAAUUUUGAGUCUGUAAAACAAACAUAAUAGAUAGAUUAACAGAAAAGGCAUACACAUUGUUAUAUGCACAUAUGUGCAUGGAAUCCACACAAAACAUGAGACUCAAUGACCAGAUAACAGAAGUUGUUAUACUGUUCAGAAAGUGAUAGCGGUGUAGGUGUCCUGGAGGGUGGCAUAGUGUCAGCUAUCUACAGAAAGGUGAGGGGAGGAAACGCUUGCUGUGCAAAGGUUGUCGUGUUAUAAAAAAGCUCUUAGGUAAUAGCCAUCAGAAGAACUGGUGACUUCUCAGAAAUUUACCUGAGAAGUUAAAGAUAUUUGGGGGAAAACUCAUAACUUUAUUUGUCUUUAGGUAGAUAAAGGGGUCUAACAGGAAGCUUUAACUUGCAUCUAUUUUUUAUCUUAAUAAGACAGGUAGAUGUAAACUUUUUUUAAUCAAAAGGACAUCUUUUCAGAUAUUUUUAUCUUUAGUUCUCAAAUUACCAACUUAGCAUAUGUCAAAGAAGGAUAUACUGGGGUGGCAUAUUCCAGCCUCCCACACCAUACCCAGCUGCAAGGAAAAUGAGAAAUUUUAAUUUUAGCUGUAUGUCCAUGUGUCCAGCUAAAGUUGGGCAACACUCACACUAAAAGAAAUAAUGAAUGCUAGUGAAAUGCUGCUGCCAUGCCAUAUAUUUAAAAGGAUUCAUGAACUUAAACAUCGUUUAUACAUUCUUUUAUAAAAGAUGAGAUCCCCAACGUAUUGUUUACUGUAAUGACUAAAAGAUUUUCAUAGCAUGCAAUGCAGAAGGUCAAGAAAAUUUAUACAUACUUAUUAUUUUCAUAUAAGGUGUUAAUAUGAAAAAAAUUAAAAACAAAAGUAAAGCAGAUAUGCUAUGGACAGCAUAUUUUGUAAAAGCAUGCCUAGAAUUGUGUAGAAGUUGUUGCCAAAUAACAUUCAGGUGAGUUACCUAUAAAAAAAAGCCUCAAAUUUGCAUACUUAAAAACUUAGACAUAUAAUUUUUACAAAAAU